UAUAAACUUAUACUCUAAUUAAUGUUAAUUUAGAGUUAUUUUGAUAUUGAUUUUUAAUUUUAGGGUGAAAUCAGAAGUUAUUUUUAUUUAAACUCUAAAUUUUAAGAUUUAGUAAACAAACCAGAUUAGUACCUGGUUAGAUAAAAUUUAAAAGAGCAGGAGUAAAGUUAUAUUUAAACUGUAAGAAUAUUGGCAGGUUUUUAAAUUAUCUUUGGAGGCUGAGUAGUGAUUGAGAGCCCUCAUUUUCAACUUUUUCUUUAGGCGCAUGUAUGAUCGUUUAUUUUAUUCUUAAGGAUUGUAAUUUUAGUCUUUGCUAUAAAAAUAGAUAGAUAUCUGGCUUAUGAGAAAGAUUUAAUUUGGCCUACAAUAAUUUAAUUUUUGGAUUCUAGUUUUAGAGGCUAGAUGAAAUUGUAAAAGACAGUAAGUUGCUUUUAAUGGGUGGCUGAAGUUUAUUUAAAAACGGUACAAAUCAUCCAUCAAUUGCCUAUAGG
rnacentral:ncRNA from 1 species